UUUCUCCUUCUCGUCGCAAUUCAUCGCUUGAGCCGCUGCGUCAACCGUGAAUUACAGGUCGGAUCAACCAUGCGAGAAGACUCUCAACAUUACGAGAUUUUCUUGUUAGUUUGUUGUAGUUCAACCAUGUAUUAUGUACUGCAAGUCACUGUGUUUUCAAAUGUCACUAGAUCUCAAUCGUGCACCACCCAAGGACCAUCGAUAAGCCCUUCACGUCACAGUACUACGCAUUUCCCAGGACGACCAAAGCUAACGUAAUACACCCCCAUCGUACUAAGCCACCUCAUAACCGUGCAAUUAGGUGUCGUUGGCCAUUGUUCAAUCACCAGAUCAAGAAGGAACAAAGGAAGAGGAGCCUUCACACCUUCACCCCCACGUCCGCACACCCCACCCGAGGUUCUAUUUAAUGCUUGCUGAUAUGCAUUGUUAGCUUGGAGUUUACGAGGAUCGAGGUAAGUGACUAUGAUCAUGUUAUUCCAUACAUCAUUUUAUGUAAACUCAAAUGUCUUUUGCAACUAUAUAUGUAAAAUAAUGGUUUAUAAAGAUAUAUAUAUAUAUAUAUAUAUAUAUAUAUAGUCAUUCUCAGUGA